UCCGCAGAUAAACAGAAAGGUGUGCCAGU
rnacentral:piRNA from 1 species